AUGAGAAGGAGACUUGCAGGAAUGGGAGGCAUCCAGAACGAGAAGGAGACCAUGCAAAGCCUGAAUGACCGCCUGGCCUCCUACCUGGACAGAGUGAGGAGCCUGGAGACCGAGAACCGGAAGCUAGAGAGCAAAAUCCGAGAACACCUGGAGAAGAAGGGACCCCAGGUCAGAGACUGGGGCCAUUACUUCAAGACCAUCAAGGACCUGAGGGCUCAGAUCUUUGCAAAUACUGUGGACAAUGCCCGUCUUACUGCUGAUAACUUUAGAGUCAAGUAUGAGACAGAGCUGGCCAUGCACCAGUCUGUGGAGAGUGACAUCCAUGGGCUCCACAAGGUCAUCGAUGACACCAGUGUCACUCGGCUGCAGCUGGAGACAGAGAUCGAGGCUCUCAAGGAGGAGCUGCUGACUUCAUGAAGAACCAUGAAGAGGAAGUAAACAGCCUACAAGCCCAGAUUGCCAGCUCUGGGUUGACCGUGGAGGUAGAUGCCCCCAAAUCUCAGGACUUCACCAAGAUCAUGGCAGAAAUCCGGGCUCAAUAUGACGAGCUGGCUCGGAAGAACUGAGAGGAGCUGGACAAGUACUGGACUCAGCUGAUUGAGGAGAGAACCAUAGUGGUCACCACACAGUCCGCUGAGGUUGAAGCUGCUGAGAUGACGCUCACAGAGCUGAGAUGACGCUCACAGAGCUGAGAUGUACAGUCCAGUCCUUGGAGAUCGACCUGGACUCCAUGAGAAAUACGAAGAUCAGCUUGGAGAACAGCCUGAGGGAGAUGGAGGCCCACUACGCCCUGCAGAUGGAGCAGCUCAAUGGGAUCCUUCUGCACCUGGAGUCAGAGCGGGCACAGACCCGGGCAGAGGGACAGCGCCAAGCCCAGGAGUACGAGGCUCUGCUGAGCAUCAAGGUCAAGCUGGAGGCUGAGAUCACCACCUACCGCUGCCUGCUGGAAGAUGGCGAGGACUUCAGUCUUAGUGAUGCCCUGGACAGCAGCAACCCCAUGCAAACCAUCCAAAAGACCACCACCUGCUGGAUAGUGGAUGGCAAAGUGGUGUCUGAGACCAACACCACCAAAGUUCUGAGACAUUGGGCCAGCAGAAACAUGGGACCCUUUGGGGAGCAGGGGGCCAAUAAAAAGUUCAGAGGUCAUUCAAUGUUAAAAACAAAAACAAAAAACCAUGAGCCAGGUGUGGUGGUAUACACCUGUAAUCCCAGCUACUCAGGAAGCUUCAGUGGGAGACCUGCUUGAACCUAAGGGUUUGAGACCAGCCUGGAUAACACAGCAAGACCCUGUCUUAAAAAAACAAAAAAAAAAAACAACAAAAAAAAAACUGUUUGGUUAACUCAGGCCUAGUGUCAUUUCUUUCACCUAUAACCAUAGAUGUAAUAACUGGAAUUUGGAAAUACAGCCCCUUCUUCAAAACCAGAAAACAGCAGUAUCCUGGUGUUUUCUUUUGACACUCUGAUGAUUGCACUGAAAUAGUCACAUGACAGUUUUGUACGCUGCAAACAUUUUAAUGAUUAUUGUUGAGCAUACAUUUUGGAAAUUUUUUACUUCAAACAGCAACAAGUUAAAUAAAUGUUUAUAAUAUACAAAGAAAAAACAACCAAAAGUAAAACUUGCUUUAAGUGUGCCUUGCACUUAGACCAGUGUUUUCCCCCCCUUAAUAUAGCUUUAUUUUUGAGCUGCACAAACACACUUAAGACUUUGAUCUUCAUAGUACGGCAUUUAGGAAAUAAAAAUAUACUCCCACCUUAAAGAAAUAAAAAGGUUGUGCAUGAUUAUAUGCCAAACAAAAGAGAGAACACUAGAAUACUCUGAUAGUGCAGGCAUCAUUAAAAA